rnacentral:rRNA from 1 species
AAUGACGGGGCCGCACAAGCGGUGGAGCAUGUGUUAAUUCGAAGCAACGCGAAGAACCUUACCAGGUCUUGACAUCCCGAUGCUAUUUCUAGAGAUAGAAAGUUACUUCGGUACAUCGGUGACAGGUGGUGCAUGGUUGUCGUCAGCUCGUGUCGUGAGAUGUUGGGUUAAGUCCCGCAACGAGCGCAACCCCUAUUGUUAGUUGCCAUCAUUCAGUUGGGCACUCUAGCGAGACUGCCGGUAAUAAACCGGAGGAAGGUGGGAUGACGUCAAAUCAUCAUGCCCCUUAUGACCUGGGCUACACACGUGCUACAAUGGUUGGUACAACGAGUUGCGAGUCGGUGACGGCGAGCUAAUCUCUUAAAGCCAAUCUCAGUUCGGAUUGUAGGCUGCAACUCGCCUACAUGAAGUCGGAAUCGCUAGUAAUCGCGGAUCAGCACGCCGCGGUCGAAUACGUUCCCGGGCCUU